rnacentral:rRNA from 1 species
CCUACGGGGGGCAGCAGUGAGGAAUAUUGGUCAAUGGGCGCGAGCCUGAACCAGCCAAGUCGCGUGAAGGAUGACGGCCCUACGGGUUGUAAACUUCUUUUAUAAAGGAAUAAAGUGAGGCACGUGUGCCUUUUUGCAUGUACUUUAUGAAUAAGGAUCGGCUAACUCGGUGCCAGCAGCCGCGGUAAGACGGAGGAUCCGAGCGUUAUCCGGAUUUAUUGGGUUUAAAGGGAGCGAAGAUGGGUUGUUAAGUCAGUUGUGAAAGCUUGCGGCUCAACCGUAAAAUUGCAAUUGAUACUGGCAGUCUUGAGUACAGUUGAGGUAGGCGGAAUUCGUGGUGUAGCGGUGAAAUGCUUAGAUAUCACGAAGAACUCCGAUUGCGAAGGCAGCUUCCUAAACUGACACUGACAUUGAGGCUCGAAAGUGUGGGGAUCAAACAGGAUUAGAUACCCUAGUAGUC